rnacentral:lncRNA from 1 species
AAUAUAGAAACGACAUUGUAAAUGUCUUUACUGUCACUUUUGAUCAAUUUAACGGGUCCUUGCUAAAUAAAAAAAUCUUUUGAAUGUUAAUGAGCAACAGUGAUAGUGAUGCUUAGGAGACUGAGGCUUCUAAAUUGAUUAAAAGGACUUUUUUUAAAGCAUGUUUAUUGUUCGUUUGUGUUGUCUGCUCAUGUAAACAGAGUAAUUAUCACUAUUUCUGAUAUCAGAUUGACUCUGACUUUAUGUUGAACCUCAAACAGACUGUCUGAGAGCAGCUGGAGUCGGUGUGAUUGUAGUUUUGUCUGUGAGAUUGCGAGGAUCAAACAAACGUCUUUGAGGUCUGUCAUGUUGCGUGUGGCUCAUCAUCUGCCACAGGCUGCGGUCCUGAGCGCUGCUUUACAUAAGGCUUACGUAACGAACGGCUGAGUCUCGUGGAGCGCAGGAGACGCUCUUCCAGCUGUUGAGAUCAGAGAACAUGCAUCAGAUCAGCUGAUUAUGAAGAGCUUCAUCUGCAGAAACCGCUCGGAGGAGCUCACUGUAGUCCCUCUCUUCUCAGGAGAUAAUGGAGUUCUCAGACGCUGCUUUUAAGAAGACCUGCAUAACCGAGGUCAAGCAUCAUUUAUUAUCUGUAUAUCAUUAAUUCCGGUCAUUCAACUCCAGUGUUACUUAAUGCAGUCUUGAGAAGAGUUAAAUGUUCAAGUGUUUGGAAAAUGUUAUUGAUCUGAGGUUAUAGAAAUUGAGAUUUAAAGGAAUAGUUCACGCAAAAAUGAAAAUUUCCUGAAAUUUACUCAGGCCAUCUGUAGGUGAGUUCGUUUCUUCAUCAGGUUUGGAGAAAUGUAGCAUUGCAUCAGUGUCUCAGCAAUGGAUGCUCUGCAGUGAAUGGGUGCCGUCAGAAUGAGAGUCCAAACAGCUGAUAAAAACAUCACAAUAAUCCACAAGUAAUCCACAGCACUCUAGUUCAUCAGUUAACAUCUGGAGAAGACAAAAGCUGAAACAAAUCCAGCAUUAAAGUCUCCAUGAAAUCAAAAUGAAAGGUUUUUGGCUUUUAGUAUGAAUA